CCAUGUCGUGCCUAUACUACAUAUAUACACAACAUCGUCUUUCCAUCACAUACAUCCUUCAACCACCAUAGGGAUAAACACCCAACUCUGCGGCAUUAAUCCCCAAAUAUGCCAUCAUAGCUUGCAGCAUAUUUUGAUCCACGGUAAUCAAAGUCUGCCCUAGAGGAACAGCAGGUCCCUGAUUGACUGCAAAUCCAACUUCA
rnacentral:lncRNA from 1 species